UUGAACGCUGGCGGCAGGCCUAACACAUGCAAGUCGCACGGUAACAGGAAGCAGCUUGCUGCUUCGCUGACGAGUGGCGGACGGGUGAGUAAUGUCUGGGAAACUGCCUGAUGGAGGGGGAUAACUACUGGAAACGGUAGCUAAUACCGCAUAACGUCGCAAGACCAAAGAGGGGGACCUUAGGGCCUCUUGCCAUCGGAUGUGCCCAGAUGGGAUUAGCUAGUAGGUGGGGUAACGGCUCACCUAGGCGACGAUCCCUAGCUGGUCUGAGAGGAUGACCAGCCACACUGGAACUGAGACACGGUCCAGACUCCUACGGGAGGCAGCAGUGGGGAAUAUUGCACAAUGGGCGCAAGCCUGAUGCAGCCAUGCCGCGUGUAUGAAGAAGGCCUUCGGGUUGUAAAGUACCUUCAGCGGGGAGGAAGGGAGUAAAGUUAAUACCUUUGCUCAUUGACGUUACCCGCAGAAGAAGCACCGGCUAACUCCG
rnacentral:rRNA from 1 species